AUCUGUUUCUAGCUCAGUGGGUAGAGCAUGAGACUCUUAAUCUCAGGAUCAUUGGUUCUUGCCCCACAUUGGGCA